rnacentral:rRNA from 1 species
GACGAACGCUGGCGGCGUGCUUAACACAUGCAAGUCGAACGGUGAACGAGGGAGCUUGCUCCCUCCGGAUCAGUGGCGAACGGGUGAGUAACACGUGAGCAAUCUGCCCCGAACUCUGGGAUAAGCGUUGGAAACGACGUCUAAUACCGGAUACGACGCGGGAGGGCAUCCUCUCCGCGUGGAAAGAACUUCGGUUCGGGAUGAGCUCGCGGCCUAUCAGCUUGUUGGUGAGGUAACGGCUCACCAAGGCGACGACGGGUAGCCGGCCUGAGAGGGUGACCGGCCACACUGGGACUGAGACACGGCCCAGACUCCUACGGGAGGCAGCAGUGGGGAAUAUUGCACAAUGGGCGCAAGCCUGAUGCAGAAACGCCGCGUGAGGGAAGACGGCCUUCGGGUUGUAAACCUCUUUUAGCAGGGAAGAAGCGAAAGUGACGGUACCUGCAGAAAAAGCACCGGCUAACUACGUG